GCACUACUGUCGAGUUCCAAACAGGACGAAACAGCUGUCCAGUGC
rnacentral:hammerhead_ribozyme from 1 species